rfam:Ciona savignyi cont_46568, whole genome shotgun sequence.
GCCCGGCUAGCUCAGUCGGUAGAGCGUUGAACUCUUAAUCCAACGGUCGUGGGUUCGAGCCCCACGUUGGGCG